rnacentral:rRNA from 1 species
CACUAUGCCCAGCCCUAAACAUUGGCAGUACAAUACAUUUACUGCCCGCCCGGGUACUACGAGCACCAGCUUGAAACCCAAAGGACUUGGCGGUGCUUAAGAUCCCCCUAGAGGAGCCUGUUCUAUAACCGAUAACCCCCGUUAAACCUCACCCUCCCUUGUUCUUCCCGCCUAUAUACCGCCGUCGUCAGCUUACCCUUUGAAGGCCCAAUAGUAAGCAAGAAUAGCACAGCCCAAAACGUCAGGUCGAGGUGUAGCAUAUGAGAGGGAAAGAAAUGGGCUACAUUUCCUAUUAACAUAGUGAAACACGGAUAAGGAGUUGAAAUUACCCCUUAGAAGGAGGAUUUAGCAGUAAGUAGAAAACAGAGCAUCCUACUGAAACUGGCCCUAAAGCGCGCACACACCGCCCGUCACUCUCCCUAAAUAGCACAACAACAUUUCAUAAUAAAACUAGCCAACUAAAGGGGAGGCAAGUCGUAA